rnacentral:lncRNA from 1 species
GGCUUUUUAUCCUGUCGUUUCUACCCCAAAUGCUCAGCUCAAAGGUACCUCCUCCAGGAAAUCUUGCACAUCCUACCCCCUCUCAUUAAUCACUCCCUUUCACAGAUGGAAAGCUCUCGGCCAUUUCACCCCACUGUGUUGCAUUUCUUUCCUUCUCUUUGCAUGUUCAUUUCCAUUUCGACUCUGGGUCCUUCAUAGCAGGAACCACAACCCAUUUGGUGCCAUGGCCCGCAGUGAGCUUGGCAAAGAAGACAGGCUGAGUUUUGGCUACUGAACUCAGUAAACACCCAGCAGUGAUGUGGCACCUCAGUCCCAAAGAUGGGUCCAUUACCAGGUCCACAUGACAGAGGCUGGGGCCACUUCUGCAGCCCAAGGGUCCUUCAGGUCUAGAGCUCAACCAGAAAACAUGGCCUUUCUUCCUACCUCCUAUCCAGCCUCAUGCCAGUUCCCCAAUUCUGUGAUUGGGAAAACUGAGGCCCAAAGAUCAGGGACUUGUCCAAACCUCCAGACUCACUGUACUAGUCCCUUCUCACAGGGUUACAAAGAAAUAUUUGAGGCUGGGUAAUGUAUAAAGAAAAGAGGUUUCAUUGGCACACGUUUCCUCAGGCUGUGAAGCAUGAUGCUGGCAUCUGCUCGGCUUCUUGGGAGGCCUCAGGAAAACUUCAAAUCAUGGGAGAAGGUUUUAGGGGAAGCAGAUAAGUCUUACAUGGCCAGAGCAGGAGCAAGAGAGGGGGUGGGGGUGCUACAUACUUUUAAACAACCAGAUCUGGUGAGAACUCUAUUGUGACAACAGCACUAGGGGCAUGGUGCUAAACCAUUCAUGAGACACCACCCCCACGAUCUAAUCACCUCCCUCCAGGCCCCACCUCCAACACUGGGGAUUACAAUUCCACAUGCAAUCUGGGUGGUACAGUGCUGUCCGCCCUUUUAGGGAUGCCUGCUUGACGAGUUCCCUUCCGUCACAUUCAGGAAGACCACAGGUCUUCCAUUCACUCACUCAACAGAUAUUUACCAAUGCCGGUCAAGGGCCCAGCAUACUGCCAAGCUCUGGGGCUACAGUACUGAACAAAACAGACCCUGUCCUUGCCUUCAGGGAGGUCACAGUCUGGACCAUGGUGCGUGCCCUUGAUCCUACCGCAAGCAUCUGUCACUCUCAACUGACGGCUUUCUCUCAGCCCAAGCACGUGUUAGACGGGACGCACCCGGUGGUCCAGGAGCAGCCUUCCACUAACAAUGGUGAAAGGACAUUGGAGGAUAAACAGCCCAGCCUCCUAAACCCUGGGAUGAGGAUAAUCCGAGGCAGUCUGGAACUGACUCCAAGAGGGAUUGAGGCCCCCAGAGGGAUUGAGGCCCAGUUGUCUGCAGUAAAACCUGCUCAUUAUCACACCGUGUAUUCAUUUCCCUCUCCUCUCUCUCACUUCCCCACUCCCCAACAGAGCUCCUGGGAUCACUACGAAAUAAACUACUUGCCCUCGAAUCCUUGACUUAGGGUCUGCUUGUGGGGGAAGCAGCUUUGCACACUGUGAUAAUUAAUUUCAUGGGUCAACAUAGUUGGACUGCUGCUAUGAUUUGAGUGUGUCUGUCCCUCUGAAACUCAUAGGUUGGAACUUAAACCCCAACGUGAUGGUAUUGAGAGAUGGGGCUUUGGGGAAGUGACUAAGUCAUGGGUCUGACUUCAUGGAUGGAUUUGUGCCCUUAUAAAAGAGGACUCGGAGAGCUGCCUGGCCCUUGUUAGCCUUCUACUUCUGCUGUCAUGUUGAGGGCAGAGCAUUUGUCCUUUUUUGUCCCCUUCACCAUGUGAGCAUGCAGCAAGAAAGUACCAUCUUGGAAGUCGAGAGCAGCCCUCACCAGAAACUGAAAGCAAGUGACUUGAUCUUGGACUUUCCAGCUUCCAGAACUGUAAGAAACAAAUUUCUGGGCUGGGUGUGGUGGCUUAUGGCUGUAAUCCCAGCACUUUGGGAGGCCAAGGCAGGAGGAUCACCUGAGGUCAGGAGUUCGAGACCAGGCUGGCCGACAAAGCGAAAUCCCUCUCUACUAAAAAUAUAAAAAUUAGCCAGGUAUAGUGGCAUACACCUGUAAUCCCAGCUACUCAGGAGGCUGAGGCAGGAGAAUCGCUUGAGCUUGGGAGUCAGAGGUUGCCAGUGAGCCAAGAUCGUGCCACUGCAGUACAGUCUGACAGUCUCCACAACAGACCCUGAAGAAAGAGAGAGAAAGAGAGAGAGAGAGAGAGAGGAAGAAAGGAAGAGAAAUUUCUGUUUUUUAUAAAACUACCCUGUCACAGAUAUUUUUUUAUCGCAGUACAUACACACUAAGACAACCAGUCCCCAGAUAUUUGAUCAAAUAUUAUUCUGGACUUUCCUGUGAGGGUAUAUUUUGGGGUUUUUUGUUUUCAUUCUUUUGGUUUCGUUGAGACAGAGUCUCACUCUGUCACCCAGGCUGGAGUGCAGUGGUGUGAUCUGGGCUCACUGCAACCUCCACCUCCCAGGUUCAAGUGAUUCUCCUACCUCAGCCUCCCGAAUAGCUGGGAUUACAGGUGUGUGCCACCAUACCUGGCUAAUUUUCUGUAUUUUUAGUAGAGACGGGGUUUCACUCUGUUAGCCAGGCUGGUCCUGGAGAGUGUAUUUUGGAUAAGACUACCAUUUUAAUCUAUGGACAUCAAAUAAGGCAGAUUGGCCUCCCUAAUGUGGGUGGGCCUCAUCCAAUCAGUUGAAGGCCUG